rnacentral:lncRNA from 1 species
UGCCAGUUGUGCGAAUACUUUGUUUGCACCUUAGUGGGACUGAAAUUUUCCUGAUACCAUGAGUCAUGGUAGUAGGCUGCUACGGCAAAAAACUGGUAAGCCCCCUAAGGGAAGAAAUUUGAAGAAAGUCUCAUCCUGCUUACCAUGUUUCAUCUUAAAAUUUUGGCUUGAUUUUUUUUUUCUGUGUAACCUAUAUCUCUGCAUGGUUACUUUCUCUAGACAUGCUUUAGCUGCAGCAUUGGUCAAGUGGCUUGAACACAACUCACAUGAGUCAUUGCCAAAUGGCCCUUUUCUGAAAUUCAUUCUCUUAUGCACUGAGAGAGGAGUUACACCAAUACAGUAUGUAUACAUACAGAUGCAGGCAAUGGAGAAACUCAUGCAGAUGAUGACUGAAGAAUUUUUCAUGAAUUUUCCAACCUGAAUUGGCUACAGAGGUUGGGAAAAGAGGAGUCCAGGCUCUAAUGAACACAGGUUCUUUCGCAGGUGACUAACAGUUGGCACCUCUAUCUUUACAUUACAUUAGGCCAGCGCUACAAAGCCUAUAUAUGCCUCUGCCUACCUGCUCAAUGGACGAUCCGAUCACAAAAAAGUGAAUAAAAAUACUCAUCACUUUGUCAAAAUACAUGUUAGUUAUCUUAGGAACGAGUAUAGCUAUCACCAGAGUACAUGCAGAUAUUUCAAUUUUUCUAUGAAGCAAACUUAUGUUAUGAUUAUCACAUUUCGAUCUUGGAGUAAUGAUUGACAAAACUAGAUGGUUACUGCAGUCUGCACCAGUCCAGUAUUUCUUAUUACAAGUUUGAGCUCCAUAGGGAUAAUCUGAUUAGUGUAUCACAAGCUUGCUGUUUCUAAUUGUGCAAAUUCUGUAGUUAUUUUAGUGUUUUGCAGAAUGCAUAGAUUUUCCAUAACAGAAAGAAGUGGAUGUAUAACCUGAUUUGGCUUUAUUAUUUGGUGCCAGUUGGCUUUGGAAAUCCCAGUUUCUUCAGUAUUGUAACUCUCUGUCAAAUCGUCAAAUUAAACUGAUCUUUCUAUUUGGACAACUUGUAAUUUGUAAUAUUAUGAUUUUCCUUUUCAGAAACCAAUUCAACUAGACCAGGACUAUGUUUAUUAGUCCUCCAGUGUUUGUUGGAAUGAGAUGACACAUGGUAUGCCAGCUAACAAGCAACUGAAGCAAGACGAUUUUUGUAAUUUCUUGGAAAGAAUGAGCCCCUGAACCCAGGAUGGCGAAGGAUCCAAUAUGUCAGGACCAGUGAGGGAAUUGCAGAGCUUCAUAUUCAGUUUAUUUUAGGUCCUUGCCUACUUCAAAUGCGUAGAUUACAGGAAACAUGUUUCUUCAAAUGUCUACUUCAAGUAAGUUUCUUAUAGAAGUAGUCAGUUUGAUUCCUUCAAAAUAGUUGUUGCCUGAUAAUUUGUGUAUGACUAGAUAGUAGUACCUCAAAUUUGCUUCAGCUUCUUAAAACAGAGUAAUUUUGUAAAUCCUAACAGAACUCUAUCAGUCUGAAGUCUGAACCAAUUUCUUGUAAAUCUGCAAUACAACAUAGCCUCAUCUGAUCCAAUCAUUGGUUUCAGAUCAAUACAUCCUUGUGCAUUCCUAUAAGAUCAAUAAAAUUCAGUUUGAUUGUGUCAAAAACUUGUUGCUUGACAAUCUAUAUGACUAGAUAGCAAUACCUUAAAAUUGCUUUUGGUUUUAAACUGAACUGAACUCAGUUGGGGCUGAACUGAACUCAGUUUGGUUCUACAAAAUAUAGGGUUGUAUUCAUUCUAUAAAAACUGAACUGAAGCUAAACGUUUGGUGGGCAAAAUAAUUUGAUGGACUGUAGUUUCUUUGAUUUUUUUUGUUAACUCUAAACUGGACUCAACUCAGUUUGAUUCUGUAAAAAAGAUUGUGACAGACUUAUAUAUAUGCAGCAGUCUUUCGCCAACACUCAAAUUAGAUGGGCAUGAUAUUUAAAAGAAAUCGACAUACUGUAGUUUAUGAGAAUUUGGCAAGAAACUCGGAACCGAUGGAACUUGUGAAAAAAUGUAAUCAAUGGACGACUACAGUUUAUAUCAAACACAGAAUCGAUGGACUUUCGCAAUGCAGGCUUGCCCUUACCAUUUACCAGGUGGCGACUUGCCGGAGGAGCCGGUGGUGCUGCUGCGACCUUCUCCGGGCGAUGGUCAAUGAUGCAAGCUAAAACCGGGGAUGGGAUAGCGGCUCCGGGCGACAAUCAGAGGCGAGGCAGCGCUGCAGACCGAGGACAAAGUGCUGCACCAGGGCGACGGCGCGGGGCGAGGAAGAAGCGGCGGAUGGGGCUGCGCAUAGGGGAGUUGGGGCGACGGCUCGGUUCAGCGCACGGGAUCGUAUUGACUCUGUUUUCUCCUAGGUACCUGCGCUGGUAUAGUUUCUCCGUGGGGUUACCAAACAAUUCUCUCUCCUCCUUGAUUAAGAUGUUACAUCAGUUUUCUGCUUACAUGGCAGGCUUAGCAUCCGUCCAGGGUGGAGCACUGGGAGCAGCCUUAUAGAAGUAAUGCAAUAUAUUCUCUCUUAUGCCUACUUGAAAU